rnacentral:rRNA from 1 species
AUGAACGCUAGCUACAGGCUUAACACAUGCAAGUCGAGGGGCAGCAUGGUCUUAGUUUGCUAAGGCUGAUGGCGACCGGCGCACGGGUGAGUAACACGUAUCCAACCUGCCGUCUACUCUUGGCCAGCCUUCUGAAAGGAAGAUUAAUCCAGGAUGGGAUCAUGAGUUCACAUGUCCGCAUGAUUAAAGGUAUUUUCCGGUAGACGAUGGGGAUGCGUUCCAUUAGAUAGUAGGCGGGGUAACGGCCCACCUAGUCAACGAUGGAUAGGGGUUCUGAGAGGAAGGUCCCCCACAUUGGAACUGAGACACGGUCCAAACUCCUACGGGAGGCAGCAGUGAGGAAUAUUGGUCAAUGGGCGAUGGCCUGAACCAGCCAAGUAGCGUGAAGGAUGACUGCCCUAUGGGUUGUAAACUUCUUUUAUAAAGGAAUAAAGUCGGGUAUGCAUACCCGUUUGCAUGUACUUUAUGAAUAAGGAUCGGCUAACUCCGUGCCAGCAGCCGCGGUAAUACGGAGGAUCCGAGCGUUAUCCGGAUUUAUUGGGUUUAAAGGGAGCGUAGAUGGAUGUUUAAGUCAGUUGUGAAAGUUUGCGGCUCAACCGUAAAAUUGCAGUUGAUACUGGAUGUCUUGAGUGCAGUUGAGGCAGGCGGAAUUCGUGGUGUAGCGGUGAAAUGCUUAGAUAUCACGAAGAACUCCGAUUGCGAAGGCAGCCUGCUAAGCUGCAACUGACAUUGAGGCUCGAAAGUGUGGGUAUCAAACAGGAUUAGAUACCCUGGUAGUCCACACGGUAAACGAUGAAUACUCGCUGUUUGCGAUAUACGGCAAGCGGCCAAGCGAAAGCGUUAAGUAUUCCACCUGGGGAGUACGCCGGCAACGGUGAAACUCAAAGGAAUUGACGGGGGCCCGCACAAGCAGUGGAUUAUGUGGUUUAAUUCGAAGCAACGCGAAGAACCUUACCAGGUCUUGACAUCGUAUGCAUAGCUCAGAGAUGAGUGAAAUCUCUUCGGAGACAUAUAGACAGGUGGUGCAUGGUUGUCGUCAGCUCGUGCCGUGAGGUGUCGGCUUAAGUGCCAUAACGAGCGCAACCCUUGUUGUCAGUUACUAACAGGUGAUGCUGAGGACUCUGACAAGACUGCCAUCGUAAGAUGUGAGGAAGGUGGGGAUGACGUCAAAUCAGCACGGCCCUUACGUCCGGGGCUACACACGUGUUACAAUGGGGGGUACAGAGGGCCGCUACCACGCGAGUGGAUGCCAAUCCCUAAAACCCCUCUCAGUUCGGACUGGAGUCUGCAACCCGACUCCACGAAGCUGGAUUCGCUAGUAAUCGCGCAUCAGCCACGGCGCGGUGAAUACGUUCCCGGGCCUUGUACACACCGCCCGUCAAGCCAUGGGAGCCGGGGGUACCUGAAGUGCGUAACCGCGAGGAUCGCCCUAGGGUAAAACUGGUGACUGGGGCU